rnacentral:rRNA from 1 species
UGGGGAAUAUUGGGCAAUGGGCGAAAGCCUGACCCAGCAACGCCGCGUGAAGGAAGAAGGUCUUCGGAUUGUAAACUUCUUUGAUCAGGGACGAAUAAAUGACGGUACCUGAAGAACAAGCCACGGCUAACUACGUGCCAGCAGCCGCGGUAAUACGUAGGUGGCAAGCGUUAUCCGGAUUUACUGGGUGUACAGGGCGUGUAGGCGGCUCCGCAAGUCAGAUGUGAAAUUCCCGGGCUUAACCCGGGCGCUGCAUCUGACACUGCGGAACUUGAGUACUGGAGAGGAUAGUGGAAUUCCUAGUGUAGCGGUAAAAUGCGUAGAUAUUAGGAGGAACACCAGUGGCGAAGGCGGCUAUCUGGACAGUAACUGACGCUGAGGCGCGAAAGCGUGGGGAGCAAACA